rnacentral:rRNA from 1 species
CGGACGGGUGAGUAACGCGUGGAAAACCUGCCGUAUACUGGGGGAUAACACUUAGAAAUAGGUGCUAAUACCGCAUAAGCGCACAGCUUCGCAUGAAGCGGUGUGAAAAACUCUGGUGGUAUACGAUGGUUCCGCGUCUGAUUAGCUAGUUGGUGGGGUAAUGGCCUACCAAGGCAACGAUCAGUAGCCAGCCUGAGAGGGUGAACGGCCACAUUGGGACUGAGACACGGCCCAAACUCCUACGGAAGGCAGCAG